rnacentral:rRNA from 1 species
AGUGAACGCUGGCGGUAGGCCUAACACAUGCAAGUCGAACGGCAGCACAGUAAGAGCUUGCUCUUACGGGUGGCGAGUGGCGGACGGGUGAGGAAUACAUCGGAAUCUACUUUUUCGUGGGGGAUAACGUAGGGAAACUUACGCUAAUACCGCAUACGACCUACGGGUGAAAGCAGGGGAUCUUCGGACCUUGCGCGAUUGAAUGAGCCGAUGUCGGAUUAGCUAGUUGGUGGGGUAAAGGCCCACCAAGGCGACGAUCCGUAGCUGGUCUGAGAGGAUGAUCAAGCACACUGGAACUGAGGCACGGUCCAGACUCCUACGGGAGGCAGCAGUGGGGAAUAUUGGACAAGGGGCGAAAACCUGAUACAGCCAAGCCGGGUGUGGGAAAAAGGUCUUUGGAUUGUAAAGCACCUUAAGUUGGGAAGAAGAGAAGGAAGUUAAUACCCUCCGUUUUUGACGGUACCAACAGAAUAAGCACCGGCUAACUUCGUG